rnacentral:lncRNA from 1 species
CCCUAGCAGUCCGUAUUUUUAGCUUAAUGUUUUAUUGCUCUAUAAAGUAGUGCACCAGGGCAGGCUAGGCUCGGUUAAUUAAUUAUGUAUAAGCAGUAACAAAGUUCGACUAUGCUGUAUAAUUUUGAUCUACGUAUUCUUCACAGUAAGCCUUGCUCAUCCCCUCUGCACUCUUCCACCUGACAGCUGAGUUGCAAACUCUCCAUCCCAUCGCCGUGCAAGGAUGGAUACUGGACGAAGUUCAUCAAUUCACUCUGCCAUUCAACAGAGAGGUAAAUGGCUGAAGAUAGAAGAUAGAAGACGAUAGAUUUUACAUCCAGCCCAAGAGGAUUUGACUAUUCCAUUGAGCAGGCUCGGGUCAGCUAAGUCCUUCU